rnacentral:rRNA from 1 species
GACGUAGGGCGCGAGCGUUGUCCGGAAUUAUUGGGCGUAAAGGGCUCGUAGGCGGUUUGUCGCGUCGGGAGUGAAAACCUCGGGCUUAACUCGGGGCUUGCUUUCGAUACGGGCAGACUGGAGGUAUGCAGGGGAGGAACGGAAUUCCUGGUGUAGCGGUGAAAUGCGCAGAUAUCAGGAGGAACACCGGUGGCGAAGGCGGGUCUCUGGGCCGAUACUGACGCUGGAGGAGCGAAAGCGUGGGGAGCGAACAGG